rnacentral:rRNA from 1 species
UACGGAGGGUGCGAGCGUUGUCCGGAAUCAUUGGGCGUAAAGGGCGCGUAGGUGGCGGGACAAGCGUGCGGUGAAAGCUCGGGGCUUAACCCCGAGUCGGCCGUGCGAACUGUUUUGCUGGAGCACUGUAGAGGCAGGCGGAAUUCCGGGUGUAGCGGUGGAAUGCGUAGAGAUCCGGAAGAACACCGGUGGCGAAAGCGGCCUGCUGGGCAGUUGCUGACACUGAGGCGCGACAGCGUGGGGAGCAAACAGG